GCUGGCUAGGUUGGCAUAUGUCUGUAAUCACAGCUACUCAGGAGACUGAGGCACAGGGAUCACUUGAGCCGAAGAGUUCAGGAAUAGCCUGGGCCACAUAGUGAGACCCUGUCUCAA
rnacentral:sRNA from 1 species